rnacentral:lncRNA from 1 species
GCCAGGUGAAGGGCAGGGCUGACAGCUGACAUCACCUCUUACCCAAAGAUCUAUGGGCGACACCUAACCCCUCCCACGCCAGCCAGGGUGGGGCAGGCCGGGCACCAGGGCCCUGUUGAAUAAGGGAAACUGAGAGAUGGAGAAGUCGAAGGGACCACCUGACCUCAGAGUGAAAGCCACCCUCCUGUGGCCUUUGUGGUUCCUACCACAUACCACGUGGACCCAUAGCUCAGUCCCUGCCCCUUCUUCCUUCCUCCCCACCUCUCCCAGAUCUGAAAUCAACACAGACCUCUGAGGGCACAAGCAAAAUGGACUAGUCAUGGCUGUGCUGCUCCUGUCUGAGGUUACGUAGCUGAGGAUACGAUCCUGCCUGAGGAUACGAUCCUGCCACGGGCAAAAGGAACCCACUGGGAGACUCCGGAAGUGGCCAUGCUUCCUCCCGACUGGCACCUGUGCAGGGGCUGGCCGCCACCCAUGGCACAGUGUCUCACAGAGGGCGGGGCUGGCCGAGGAGGCAGGAAAGAGCUGUUGUGCUGAUGAGGUGCCGUCGUGUCACACGGACAGGAGUGCCAGAAUUCAGAGGAAGCGCGGGCCUAGGCCGUGGCCAGAACAUCCAGCCUGGCUUUGUGAAUAUCCUGAUGCUUUGAGCUACCCUCAUUCCAACUGCCCGGCCAGGGAAAGGCUGAAGAGGACUGAGCAGUACUCCAAACACGGAAGAGAGAAAGACAGACAAGGAAGGGCCCUAGCCAGCGAGGGAGUGAGGAGGGGAGGCCGACCAGGGGGCCGAGGGAGCCCAAUAGAUUUGCCUGAAACACCAAUAAAUUUAAAAACAAACCCAGAAAGCUAAAGACAGCCCCUGGAAAGUGCUGGGAAAAUGGACCAUCGAUUUUAGACUUGAUCUGCAUUUUGUAUUUUAAUAAUGCUCUCUCUGUCUUUCCUUUUCUCUCUCUCCCU